rnacentral:ncRNA from 1 species
GAAAAGCGCCUGAGCCUUUUUGCCUGGUUAGUAAAUUGAAUCGGUGCUUGUUGCGGAGCAAAAAGGAUGACGAGGAUGGAAGAUGAUCGAAUUUCGGCGGAUGCUUCCCGGCUUUACAGAGAAGCCGCCGGACGGUGUACAAAAACACGGGCGACCGUGUGACAGAA